UACGAAGGUCCCAAGCGUUAUCCGGAUUUAUUGGGUUUAAAGGGUGCGUAGGCGGGUUAUUAAGUCAGUGGUGAAAGCCUUCAGCUUAACUGAAGAACUGCCAUUGAUACUGAUGAUCUUGAGCAUGAUUGAGGUGGGCGGAAUGUGUCAUGUAGCGGUGAAAUGCUUAGAUAUGACACAGAACACCGAUUGCGAAGGCAGCUCACUAAGCCAUAACUGACGCUGAUGCACGAAAGCGUGGGGAGCAAACAGG
rnacentral:rRNA from 1 species